CCUACGGGUGGCAGCAGUGGGGGAUAUUGGACAUUGGGGGAACCCUGAUCCAGCGACGCCGCGUGAGUGAAGAAGUAUUUCGGUAUGUAAAGCUCUGUCAGCUGGGAAGAAAGCAAUGACGGUAACUGCCCAAGAAGCCCCGGCUAAAUACGUGACAGCAGCCGCGGUAAUACGUAGGGGGCACGCGUUAUACGGAAUUCCUGGGUGGAAAGGAUGCGUUGACGGCUGUGCACGUCUGGUGUGAAAGGUGGGGGCCCAACCCCCGGACUGCUCUGGAAACUGUAAGGCUGGAGUGCAGGAGAGGUAAGCGGAAUUCCUAGUGUAGCGGGGAAAUGCGUAGAUAUUAGGAGGAACACCAGUGGCGAAGGCGGCUUACUGGACUGUAACUGACGUUGAGGCUCGAAAGCGUGGGGAGCAAACAGGAUUAGAUACCCCUGUAGUC
rnacentral:rRNA from 1 species